CCUACGGGAGGCAGCAGUGAGGAAUAUUGGUCAAUGGACGAGAGUCUGAACCAGCCAAGUAGCGUGAAGGAUGACUGCCCUAUGGGUUGUAAACUUCUUUUAUAUGGGAAUAAAACGUUCCACGUGUGGGAUUUUGUAUGUACCAUAUGAAUAAGGAUCGGCUAACUCCGUGCCAGCAGCCGCGGUAAUACGGAGGAUCCGAGCGUUAUCCGGAUUUAUUGGGUUUAAAGGGAGCGUAGGUGGAUUGUUAAGUCAGUUGUGAAAGUUUGCGGCUCAACCGUAAAAUUGCAGUUGAAACUGGCAGUCUUGAGUACAGUAGAGGUGGGCGGAAUUCGAGGUGUAGCGGUGAAAUGCUUAGAUAUAACGAAGAACUCCGAUUGCGAAGGCAGUUCACUGGACUGCAACUGACACUGAGGCUCGAAAGUGUGGGUAUCAAACAGGAUUAGAUACCCGGGUAGUC
rnacentral:rRNA from 1 species